rnacentral:lncRNA from 1 species
GCGGCGAGGCGGUUGCUCUCUAAUGAAAGUGAGGAAGUCUCUUUUAUAGAAUAAGGGCUCGCUCCUCAGUACAUAAAUAAUGAGCUAAGUCCCCCAAGUAUUUUUCAUGAGGCCCAGUUGAGGCCCAAUAUAUGGUGUAUAGUGUAGUCCCCCAAGUCUUUGGUCAAUAGAGUCUGUUGGCUGGAGACUUCAAAUUGAAUCCAUGUAUGGGCUGAAUUGGCGGUUGUUCGGAGGCAGUAUUUGUAUACCUUGCACUAAAGCUUUGUAGGUGAAGCUUUGCAAGUGAAGCUUUGCAGCUGGAGCUCUGUAAACGAAGCUUUUGAAGUUAGAGCUUUUGUAAACGAAGCUUUUGAAGCUGGAGCUCUGUAAAUGAAGCUUUUGAAGCUAGAGCUUUUGUAAAUGAAACUUUCGAAGCUAAAGCUUUGUAAAUGAAGCUUUUGAAGCUAGAGCUCUGUAAAUGAAGCUUUUGAAGCUAGAGCUCUGUAAAUGAAGCUUUUGAAGUUGAUUGACAUGAGUGAUACUCAUAAAUGUUUAUGUUGAUUGACAUGAGUGAUGCUUAUGGAUGUUGACAUGAGUGAUGCUCAUGAAUGUUGACAUGAGUGAUGCUUAUGAAUGUUUAUGUAUGAUUGAUAUGAGUAAUGCUCAUGAAUGUUUAUGUAUGAUUGACAUGAGUAAUACUCAUGUAUAAUUUGAAGUACUGGGCGUACUUUUGAUCACCUGGUUGGUGAUAAUAGCGGCAUGCUGUGGAAUAAUUUUGGAGUACUGGGCAUACUUUUGAUCACCUGGUUGGUGAUAAUAGCGGCAGGCUGCCGAAUAAUUUGGAGUAUUGGGCGUACUUUUGAUCACCUAGUUGGUGAUAAUAGCGCCGGGGUGCCGAAUAAUUUUUUGUAGUACUGGGCAUACUUUUGGUCACCUGGUUGGUGAUAAUAGCGGCAGGGUGCCGAAUAAUGUUUUGUAGUACUGGACAUACUUUUGGUCACCUGGUUGGUGCUAUUUUGGGCUUAUGGGCCUUCACCAUCCACAUAACAUUCCAGCCCAUUUAUUUUAGGCUUUGCCAUUUUUUUUUAAUUUUUAAUUUUUUUAUUACCCUCUGAUGGUGUUAUAUAGAUGUCUCUAAAAUAUAAGAAAAAAUAAAUUACAUCAUUAAAAAA